rnacentral:rRNA from 1 species
CCUACGUGUGGCAGCAGUGGGGAAUAUUGGGCAAUGGGCGCAAGCCUGACCCAGCAACGCCGCGUGAAGGAAGAAGGCUUUCGGGUUGUAAACUUCUUUUCUCAGGGACGAAGAAAGUGACGGUACCUGAGGACUAAGCCACGGCUAACUACGUGCCAGCAGCCGCGGUAAUACGUAGGUGGCAAGCGUUAUCCGGAUUUAUUGGGUGUAAAGGGCGUGUAGGCGGGAGCGGAAGUCAGAUGUGAAAACUCAGGGCUCAACCCUGGGCCUGCAUUUGAAACUGUGGUUCUUGAGUGCGGGAGAGGCAAUCGGAAUUCCGUGUGUAGCGGUGAAAUGCGUAGAUAUACGGAGGAACACCAGUGGCGAAGGCGGAUUGCUGGACAGUAACUGACGCUGAGGCGCGAAAGCGUGGGGAGCAAACAGGAUUAGAUACCCCUGUAGUC